rnacentral:rRNA from 1 species
GACGAACGCUGGCGGCGUGCUUAACACAUGCAAGUCGAACGGAAAGGCCCUGCUUUUGUGGGGUGCUCGAGUGGCGAACGGGUGAGUAACACGUGAGUAACCUGCCCUUGACUUUGGGAUAACUUCAGGAAACUGGGGCUAAUACCGGAUAGGAGCUCCUGCUGCAUGGUGGGGGUUGGAAAGUUUCGGCGGUUGGGGAUGGACUCGCGGCUUAUCAGCUUGUUGGUGGGGUAGUGGCUUACCAAGGCUUUGACGGGUAGCCGGCCUGAGAGGGUGACCGGCCACAUUGGGACUGAGAUACGGCCCAGACUCCUACGGGAGGCAGCAGUGGGGAAUAUUGCACAAUGGGCGGAAGCCUGAUGCAGCAACGCCGCGUGCGGGAUGACGGCCUUCGGGUUGUAAACCGCUUUCGCCUGUGACGAAGCGUGAGUGACGGUAAUGGGUAAAGAAGCACCGGCUAACUACGUGCCAGCAGCCGCGGUGAUACGUAGGGUGCGAGCGUUGUCCGGAUUUAUUGGGCGUAAAGGGCUCGUAGGUGGUUGAUCGCGUCGGAGGUGUAAUCUUGGGGCUUAACCCUGAGCGUGCUUUCGAUACGGGUUGACUUGAGGAAGGUAGGGGAGAAUGGAAUUCCUGGUGGAGCGGUGGAAUGCGCAGAUAUCAGGAGGAACACCAGUGGCGAAGGCGGUUCUCUGGGCCUUUCCUGACGCUGAGGAGCGAAAGCGUGGGGAGCGAACAGGCUUAGAUACCCUGGUAGUCCACGCUGUAAACGGUGGGUACUAGGUGUGGGGUCCAUUCCACGGGUUCCGUGCCGUAGCUAACGCUUUAAGUACCCCGCCUGGGGAGUACGGCCGCAAGGCUAAAACUCAAAGGAAUUGACGGGGCCCCGCACAAGCGGCGGAGCAUGCGGAUUAAUUCGAUGCAACGCGUAGAACCUUACCUGGGUUUGACAUGGAUCGGGAGUGCUCAGAGAUGGGUGUGCCUCUUAUGGGGUCGGUUCACAGGUGGUGCAUGGCUGUCGUCAGCUCGUGUCGUGAGAUGUUGGGUUAAGUCCCGCAACGAGCGCAACCCUUGUUCACUGUUGCCAGCACGUUAUGGUGGGGACUCAGUGGAGACCGCCGGGGUCAACUCGGAGGAAGGUGGGGAUGACGUCAAGUCAUCAUGCCCCUUAUGUCCAGGGCUUCACGCAUGCUACAAUGGCUGGUACAGAGAGUGGCGAGCCUGUGAGGGUGAGCGAAUCUCGGAAAGCCGGUCUCAGUUCGGAUUGGGGUCUGCAACUCGACCUCAUGAAGUCGGAGUCGCUAGUAAUCGCAGAUCAGCAACGCUGCGGUGAAUACGUUCCCGGGGCU